rnacentral:lncRNA from 1 species
AGUUCUCAUUUUGUGUGCUCGGCUGACUGCACGUCCAGCCUCGGGCCAGCUCGAGACGGCCACAUUGUGAGUCUGUGGGAGGGGUUCUACCGAGACGAAUGGACUUUUCUGAGGCAGGGCCCAGGAGCUGUAAUUCGAGGGGCCUCAGAUCUCCCUGCCACCCACCUGCCAGGGCCUGGUUGAAGAUGGCUGAGCGUAAAACAGAAUGCAAGUCAGCUGGAGCACGUACUACUGGAGGCAGAGCCCCAUGAGAAGGGGCCAAGAACCCGCACCCAUCAAAAUCAAGAAGAAAGGCUGAACCCGGAGAGAAAAGGGAGAAGCAGUCUGUUCCCUGGACAUGCUCCUCUCUCUCAGUCCUCAGGUGGUGCCAGUUGGUGGGGGAGAAUGUUCCUGGCAUGUGGACUUGAAUCUGGCAGCAACUGAUGUUGCCAUGCAGAUCCCUUGGUUGCUAUGAGAUGGUAACAUCACUCUGCCCCACCAUUGGCCAGUGCCUCCUCAGCUGCGGUGCCUCCCAGGCUGUGUGGUUCUCACGCGGGCCACUGACACAGAGCUGUUACUAUGGUGAACUUUACAAUUUCCUUUGAUUGGUGGAUUUCAGAAAUAGGCCAUCAGCGGAAUUCAUUAUAUUCAGCUAAGUAAAAAUGAAAAAUAAAUACUAUAACUUUCCCCUCAUCACUAACAUGAAGGAAACGUGACCCUUCAUGACAUAAUAAAUCGCUGUUCGGUAACUUAGGAUCCUUCAGGGGACUGAAGCGGGAUGAUCCUCCUAUGCCAAAUUUGGGUGGGAAAGAUAUUCCCUGUAGCUUUGAGUCGACUCUUCAGAGUUAAGGGCAGUGGGCCAACCAGAGUUGGAACUUCAGAGUUGGGAGGAGGUGUGGGAUGGGGCAUGCAUUGAAAUGUAAACUCUAUUGUCUCUGAAGUGAUGGGUGAUGCUGGGGGCCUGAGUGUGGAGGGCAGUUUUACAUCUCAGGACAAUGUUUUCUCAGAUGCUCUUCCAGAAAGAAAAGCCAGGAGUACUCCUGGCUGGAGGCGGCAUGCCUGAGGUCAGAGUCAAAGUAGGGUUUGUGCUGUCUGAAUCCUUUCUCCCACUCUCCCCAGCCUGGCUCAGCUUCUCAGCUUCUCAGGUGGAUUGGUGAGUCCUGGCCAAUUACGCUUCAGCUCAUCUCUACUCUCAGCAAAUAGGAAAAGGGAGUGAAGGACUGAGUUUUAACUCUUCUAAUUUCGUAACCUGACUCUCUAUAAGAAAAAGUAGGAGAAAGACUGAAGAACCCGAGAGAACAGGCCUCUGAGCCCAAGCCAAGCCAUCGCAUCCCCUGUGACUUGCACGUAUACACCCAGAUGGCCUGAAGUAACUGAAGAAUCACAAAAGAAGUGAAUAUGCCUUGCCCCACCUUGACUGAUGACAUUCCACCACAAAAGAAGUGUAAAUGGCCGGUCCUUGCCUUAACUGAUGACAUUACCUUGUGAAAGUCCUUUUCCUGGCUCAUCCUGGCUCAAAAAGCACCCCCACUGAGCACCUUGCGACCCCCCACUCCUGCCCGCCAGAGAACAAACCCCCUUUGACUGUAAUUUUCCUUUACCUCCCCAAAUCCUAUAAAACGGCCCCACCCUUAUCUCCCUUUGCUGACUCUCUUUUCGGACUCAGCCCGCCUGCACCCAGGUGAUUAAAAGCUUUAUUGCUCA